CAAUUCAGUGUUCCAGACAACUACGCCGGAUGCGGCCCGCUCUCUGGAACGAGUUAAUCUUCUUACGACCGACUGGACCGUGCUGACCUGAUGCGACACUAGGCUUUCUCUUCCUUGUUAUCCUUUCCCCUCUUAUCCUUUUGCCCCUCUGUUCUAUUGUCUGCCUUUUUUGCUUUUUCGGAGGCCUAAGCUGCUUCCAUUUCUGUUUGCUCAAUUCAUUUUUCUUAAUGAAUGAAGCAGGUAACUCGCUACCUAUUUCUCAAAAAAAAAAUAAUUUGUUGAGUUCUAAAUUAUCUGUUCAAAUUAUUUUAGUAUUCUAUUUUAUAUAAUACUUAGCUCUCACACUUUCAGUUGGUAUUUGUCUCUGAUAUCUAAUAUAACUAACUAGUCCACCAACGUAAAAAAACUU
rnacentral:lncRNA from 1 species